rnacentral:lncRNA from 1 species
UGACCCGAAGUCCUUCACUUUCGGCUAUCUUGAUGAGAAGCUCAUUGACACUGGUCUUACGAAGUUCCUCGGCCUCUGCCCUUCAGCCUUGUCUCGGUACUUGGAGAUUGCCUCUGCAUGCUCCACCUCCUCGGCCCCUUUCACGACCAAGCGCUCUCCCUCUAUGAGAGCAAGGGAUCAAUGACUUUCACGGAAGUCCCGCCUUUGCAGUACCAUGGCGCUGCCAUGCCCAUGGCCCUACUAUCCGUUGCCUCGCAUCUACAUCCC